rnacentral:rRNA from 1 species
UACGAAGGGGGCUAGCGUUGCUCGGAAUCACUGGGCGUAAAGGGUGCGUAGGCGGCGCGGUAAGUCGGGUGUGAAAUUUCGAGGCUUAACUUCGAAACUGCAUUCGAUACUGCCGUGCUAGAGGACUGGAGAGGAGACUGGAAUUUACGGUGUAGCGGUGAAAUGCGUAGAUAUCGUAAGGAAGACCAGUGGCGAAGGCGGGUCUCUGGACAGUUCCUGACGCUGAGACGCGAAAGCGUGGGGAGCGAACAGG